CAGAUUAUGUUGGGGGGAAAGAAGGCAGUUCUGAUGGUCAUAGCAGGUAGGCAGCCUCCCUGGUUUCGAGGGGCUUACUGAAUUUCUGGAGUCCUGAGUAAUUCUGGAAAUGUCCAUCUAGCAUCUCCCAUCAUUGCCAAGGAGGAACGUAAGCCCCCAGUGACCCAUGUGCUGUGACCCAUGAAAGGUGGUGCUGCGAGAGUCACGGGGCCCUGAGCACCCUCUGGUCUCCACUUAACCUUCAUUGCUUGAAUUCCCCCACCCACCCUUUCUCUGGCCCUUUCCCAUAAUGUCUUCAAACCAUUUCCUUCUAACUUUUUUUCUUUUCUAUUUAUUAAAUAAAGCUUUAUGAUCCUUUGUUCAUUAUUUAAUUUUUUUCCUGAUUAUAAAAUGCACGCUAGUGGUAAAAAUCCCAGCAAUACAAAAACGUGUUAAGUCCCCACUUUGCAUUUUCCUAAGGAGUCACACCUCAUCCAGCCAGCAGGCGCCGCGCAGUGGCUGCAGGUGCGGGAGCACAUGUCUUCUGUAUCCGUGGAAAUGUCUGAAAUCUAGGGACCUUGUUUAUAUCCUCUCUUACGACGUUCUCUUGUCAUUUAACCAUGUGACAUUCUCUCCUAGCUGGCCGAGUUUCCUCACUCAUUUUAACUGCUCCUGUGGGUAUGUACCAUCACCUACAAAACUGCUCCUCCAUCACGUAUUUGGCUGUUUCCAGCCUCUCACUAUGGCAAACACUGCUGCGACAUUGAUUCCUGGACAUAUCUGUGCGGUUUUGUAGAUUUGUAAUGUACCUGUUUAUAUGAGCUGAAAUCCUGAAAGCGCUCUUGCUGGCUCAAAGGGUAUGCAUAUUUGAAUUUAAGGAUAUAGGAGUUCCUGUCGUAGCUCAGUGGUUAACAACCCCGUCUAAGAUCCAUGAAGAUGCGAGUUCGAUCCCUGGCCUUACUCAGUGGGUUAAGGAUCCAGUGUCACUGUGAGCUGUGGUGUCGGUCGCAGACGCGGAUGGGAUCUGGCAUUGCUGUGACUGUGGCGUAGGUCGUCCCCUGUAGCUCAGAUUUGACCCCUAGCGUGGGAACUUCCGUGUGCUACGGGUGUGGCCCUAAAAAAAAAAAAACAAGUAAGGAUAUAGCUGAAUUGUCACCAAGAAUGACUAACUUCAGCCCAGCCCGGUGUUCUCUCAGCACAGUGAGGAGGCGCUGGUGGUCCGUGGCCCCCUCAGCACAGGGCAUCAGCAUCCAGCUUCAUCUUGGUUCUUCAUUUUACGGAGAGGUGAAUGGCUUGCAUCUCUUUCUUGUAAUGUGUAAAACCCGUGGGUGUGUCUGUGGCUGUGGCUGGAAAAUAUCCCUACCCAGACCAAGCUGGCUUCUCUCAGACUCCAGCCCUCGUGCCGUCUCUGGGCUUGUGUCCUGUGCGUCCUGCUGCAGCCACUCCCACGGCUCCCAAAGAGGCCCUCAAGUAGCCAAGGGCCACAGGCGCUCCCCUUUCUUUCUGUUCAUUCAUUGAUUCGACAGAAGCCCUGAGCAUCUUCCCUGAGCAGAGUAUCCUAUUUGGGGGCUCCCUGUGGCCACACUGGGGGCUUGUUCAGUGGCCUCAGUGCCAAGCCUGUUCAAACGUUCUAAUCCUCUCACUCCAUGCUUUGAAAACUGGCUCAUGAUACACAGUGACAAAUCCCUUUUACACAGUUGUGACCUAGGCUGUGUGCUCAUGCAAACACACACACACUUUCAUGAACCAAAAUUUACUCUUACUGCAUUUUUUACUCCAUUGUAUUUCAUCUAUUUCAUUUUUUAAAACCUCAGACCAUGAUAAGUCAUGACCUGCAGUGUGGAAACCACAGUUUGAAUUUCCCUAAACUCCAGCCCCGUUCUGAGUGAGGACCCCCCCUCCCGCCCCAGUUAUGGGAGGGGGGCUUUCCCAGUGUCCAGCACAGCAAAGGCAAGAGGCUGGGCUUGGAUCUGCAUCAGCAAAGAGCUCUGUUCAGAUGCAUCUCUGUCUUAGUAGCUGCAUCUAAGGCCAUGAGGGGACUAGGGUGGACCUUGGUGACCUGGUCAGGGGGUGAGUGUGGGGAGCCAGGAUGGUGUAGCUUUCUGGAGGCCCGGAGCCCUUCUUUUCUCUGGAGACUGGGUACGGGGAGAGGGCAGCUGCCUCUUCUCCCUUUUGUCCUCUUCCCCUUCCUGUCCCCUCUCAGAGAGAGAUGCCAGUGCUGGUGGUCAUGGCAGCGAACACCUGUCCAGCAUCUGUGUCCUAGGUGCUGGUCUGAGAGCCUUAUGUGAGUUAAUUCAAUGUAAUACAACAAAUCUAUUCCAUUAGCCCCAUGUCGCGAGAGGAAUUUGAGACAGAGAAGCCUGCCCAAGGCUUGUUUUUGUUCAAGCCACGCAGUGGGGCUCUCCCGUGUGGACCUGACCCUUGUGGAAAUUGGAGCUGAUGACAGAAUAGCAGACUCCUUUAACGGAUACGUCUUUCUUAGAGGCAACCUAUUCCCCCCACUUUGCGUGGACUGACCCCCCACCCCCCACCCCCUCCAGGAUCUGCCCAGAGGAGAGCACAGGACCUAAGCAAGCAAUCCGAUUGGUUCCUUCACUGUGAAAGGGGAAGAAAUCCUCUUUUGGGGAGGGGGGAGUGUCACUAGGUUGGUGGGAUGUGCUUUGUGCGGCCAGCAGGUGCUGCGUUUGUCACGUGGAGUGACCCUGUCGUCUAUAUGCAGAAAAGGCUGCUGUUACUCAGGCCCUUGGAUAGAGCUGUCGCCCAAGCCCGACAGGGAUAGCAUUUUGCUCUAAAGACAGUUGGAGAUGCUUUUUCAUCAUCUGCAGCAGGGAGAGGCCUGACCAGCACUGGGGAGUCUGGAAGCUUUCAAAGUGGCAGCGAAGCUUACGCAGAUCGGAUGCCCGCCUUCCCAUCUUUCCACAUUUGGAAAGUGCAUGGAGCCCUGAGUAGGAUAUCUAGCCUGCCGGGCAUGGUGCGUGAUCCCAGGGGGCCUGGGAGCUCUUCUGCAGGUGCCCUCCUGGGGGGGCUGUGCAAAGACCAGGUUACUGCAUGGUCACAGGGUGUUGUGCAAUGAGACUGUAUUUGCUGCAGAUGUGUGGAUGGGAGUCAGAAGCUAUCUCUUGUCUGUUGUUUGAUUACUACUUCUGUGUCCAAAACAACCCCCAGCAGUUCCCAUUGUGGCUCAGUGGGUUAAGAAACCAACUAGUAUCCAUGAGGAUGUGGGUUCAAUCCCUGGCCUCACUCAGUUAAGGAUCUGGUGUUGCCACAAGCUGUGGCGUAGGUCACAGGUGUGGCUUGGAUCUGUUGUUGCUGUAGCUGCAGGGUAGGCUGGCAGCUGCAGCUCCGAUUCGACCCCUAGCCCGGGAACUUCCAUAUGCUGUGGGUGU
rnacentral:lncRNA from 1 species